rnacentral:snRNA from 14 species
GUGCUUGCUUCAGUGGCACAUACAUUAAAAUUGGAACAAUGCAGAGAAGAGUAAUGUGGCCACAGCACAGGCAUACAUGUGACCUAACCAAGCAGUCCACAUCUGG